rnacentral:rRNA from 1 species
AACGAACGCUGGCGGCAGGCUUAACACAUGCAAGUCGAACGCUCGGAGCAAUCCGGGAGUGGCAGACGGGUGAGUAACACGUGGGAACGUACCCUUCGAUCUGGGAUAACUGGGGGAAACUUCAGCUAAUACCGGAUACGCCCUAUGGGGGAAAGGUUUACUGUCGAAGGAUCGGCCCGCGUCCGAUUAGCUAGUUGGUGUUGGUAAUGGCUCACCAAGGCGACGAUCGGUAGCUGGUCUGAGAGGAUGGCCAGCCACAUUGGGACUGAGACACGGCCCAAACUCCUACGGGAGGCAGCAGUGGGGAAUAUUGGACAAUGGGCGCAAGCCUGAUCCAGCCAUGCCGCGUGAGUGAUGACGGCCUUAGGGUUGUAAAGCUCUUUCGCACGCGACGAUAAUGACGGUAGCGUGAGAAGAAGCCCCGGCUAACUUCGUGCCAGCCGCCGC